rnacentral:rRNA from 1 species
UACGUAGGUGGCAAGCGUUGUCCGGAUUUAUUGGGUUUAAAGGGUGCGUAGGCGGCCCUGUAAGUCAGUGCUGAAAUAUCCCAGCUUAACUGGGAGGGUGGCAUUGAUACUGCGGGGCUAGAGUACAGAUGAGGUAGGCGGAAUUGACGGUGUAGCGGUGAAAUGCUUAGAUAUCGUCAAGAACACCGAUAGUGAAGACAGCUUACUAGGCUUAUACUGACGCUGAGGCACGAAAGUGUGGGGAUCAAACAGG